UGGGGAAUAUUGGACAAUGGGCGAAAGCCUGAUCCAGCCAUGCCGCGUGUGUGAAGAAGGUCUUCGGAUUGUAAAGCACUUUAAGUUGGGAGGAAGGGCAGUAAGCGAAUACCUUGCUGUUUUGACGUUACCGACAGAAUAAGCACCGGCUAACUCUGUGCCAGCAGCCGCGGUAAUACAGAGGGUGCAAGCGUUAAUCGGAAUUACUGGGCGUAAAGCGCGCGUAGGUGGUUCGUUAAGUUGAAUGUGAAAGCCCCGGGCUCAACCUGGGAACUGCAUCCAAAACGGGCGAGCUAGAGUAGGGCAGAGGGUGGUGGAAUUUCCUGUGUAGCGGUGAAAUGCGUAGAUAUAGGAAGGAACACCAGUGGCGAAGGCGACCACCUGGGCUCAUACUGACACUGAGGUGCGAAAGCGUGGGGAGCAAACAGG
rnacentral:rRNA from 1 species